rnacentral:misc_RNA from 1 species
GGAAUGUAGCCUGAGAACGCAUUUUAUACAACUAAAACGUGUACCUUCCAGCCUAACAACAAAAGUGUAAAGCUCAUGUUUCUUGACAGCCUACCCUAAAUGCUAACAACAGACCAGAUCUUUUUUCCUCGGAUUGAACAAGCCAGAUGUAAUACGAGAAGUACCAAUUAAUGGUCGGUUGCUCUUAAAAGCAGAAGAUAGCACACUUGCCUCUUGGCAUAAAAAAAAAAUGGCUAUAUUAUAUAUGCAUAGACGGCAUGGAGUUGUCAUUCUCAAUAUUCAGAUUAGAUUGUAUAAAGGUACUUUCUCUAUAGGACAGAAAAAAAAAAUAUAUGUAAAUAUGUUCUUAUUCAAUAGUUCUUGAUGAAGUUCGUUCUAACUCGUUUGUGUGUAUUUACGAGG